UACGAAGGGGGCUAGCGUUGCUCGGAAUCACUGGGCGUAAAGGGUGCGUAGGCGGGUCUUUAAGUCAGGGGUGAAAUCCUGGAGCUCAACUCCAGAACUGCCUUUGAUACUGAAGAUCUUGAGUUCGGAAGAGGUGAGUGGAACUGCGAGUGUAGAGGUGAAAUUCGUAGAUAUUCGCAAGAACACCAGUGGCGAAGGCGGCUCACUGGCCCGAUACUGACGCUGAGGCACGAAAGCGUGGGGAGCAAACAGG
rnacentral:rRNA from 1 species